rnacentral:rRNA from 1 species
UACGGAGGGUGCGAGCGUUAAUCGGAAUUACUGGGCGUAAAGGGUGCGUAGGUGGUUAAUUAAGCUAGAUGUAAAAGGCCUGAGCUUAACUUGGGUAUGCAUUUAGUACUGGUUAACUAGAGUACAAUAGAGGGGUGUGGAAUUUCCUGUGUAGCGGUGAAAUGCGUAGAUAUAGGAAGGAACACCAGUGGCGAAGGCGACACCCUGGAUUGAUACUGACACUGAGGUGCGAAAGCGUGGGGAGCAAACAGG